rnacentral:misc_RNA from 1 species
GAUGAAGAACGGAGCGAAAUGCGAUACGUAAUGUGAAUUGCAGAAUUCAGUGAAUCAUCGAGUCUUUGAACGCACAUUGCGCCCCCUGGUAUUCCGGGGGGCAUGCCUGUCCGAGCGUCAUUGCUGCCCUCAAGCACGGCUUGUGUGUUGGGCCUCCGUCCUCCUCCCGGGGGACGGGCCCGAAAGGCAGCGGCGGCACCGCGUCCGGUCCUCGAGCGUAUGGGGCUUCGUCACCCGCUCUUGUAGGCCCGGCCGGCGCUUGCCGACACAUCAAUCUUUUUUCCAGGUUGACCUCGGAUCAGGUAGGGAUACCCGCUGAACUUAAGCAUAUCAAUAAGCGGAGGA